AUACAGAGGUGGCAAGCGUUGCUCGGAUUUAUUGGGUGUAAAGGGUAGGUAGGCGGCUUUGUAAGUCUGUUGUGAAAUCCCAGGGCUCAACCCUGGAACUGCAGCAGAUACUGCUUAGCUUGAGUCUUAGAGAGGUAAGGGGAAUUCCUGGUGUAAGGGUGAAAUCUGUAGAUAUCAGGAGGAACACCAAUGGCGAAGGCACCUUACUGGCUGAGAUCUGACGCUGAACUACGAAAGCUAGGGUAGCAAACAGGAUUAGAAACCCCAGUAGUCC
rnacentral:rRNA from 1 species